CGUGCUUAACACAUGCAAGUCGAGCGAUGUUGUUUCCUUCGGGAAAUGGAUUAGCGGCGGACGGGUGAGUAACACGUGGGUAACCUGCCUCAUAGAGUGGAAUAGCCUUCCGAAAGGGAGAUUAAUACCGCAUAACGUUGAAAGAUGGCAUCAUCAUUCAACCAAAGGAGCAAUCCGCUAUGAGAUGGACCCGCGGCGCAUUAGCUAGUUGGUGGGGUAACGGCCUACCAAGGCGACGAUGCGUAGCCGACCUGAGAGGGUGAUCGGCCACAUUGGGACUGAGACACGGCCCAGACUCCUACGGGAGGCUGCAGUGGGGAAUAUUGCACAAUGGGGGAAACCCUGAUGCAGCAACGCCGCGUGAGUGAUGAAGGUUUUCGGAUCGUAAAGCUCUGUCUUUGGGGAAGAUAAUGACGGUACCCAAGGAGGAAGCCACGGCUAACUACGUGCCAGCAGCCGCGGUAAUACGUAGGUGGCAAGCGUUGUCCGGAUUUACUGGGCGUAAAGGGAGCGUAGGCGGAUUUUUAAGUGGGAUGUGAAAUACCCGGGCUCAACCUGGGUGCUGCAUUCCAAACUGGUUAUCUAGAGUGCAGGAGAGGAAAGUGGAAUUCCUAGUGUAGCGGUGAAAUGCGUAGAGAUUAGGAAGAACACCAGUGGCGAAGGCGACUUUCUGGACUGUAACUGACGCUGAGGCUCGAAAGCGUGGGGAGCAAACAGGAUUAGAUACCCUGGUAGUCCACGCCGUAAACGAUGAGUACUAAGUGUUGGAAGUCAAAAAAUUUCAGUGCUGCAGUUAACGCAGUAAGUACUCCGCCUGAGUAGUACGUUCGCAAGAAUGAAACUCAAAGGAAUUGACGGGGGCCCGCACAAGCGGCGGAGCAUGCGGAUUAAUUCGAUGCAACGCGAAGAACCUUACCUGGGCUUGACAUGUUCCCGACGAUCCGGUAACGCGGCCUUUCCUUCGGGACAGGGGAGACAGGUGGUGCAUGGUUGUCGUCAGCUCGUGUCGUGAGAUGUUGGGUUAAGUCCCGCAACGAGCGCAACCCUUGCCUUUAGUUGCCAGCAUUAAGUUGGGCACUCUAGAGGGACUGCCGAGGAUAACUCGGAGGAAGGUGGGGAUGACGUCAAAUCAUCAUGCCCCUUAUGUGUAGGGCUACACACGUGCUACAAUGGCUGGUACAGAGAGAUGCAAUACCGCGAGGUGGAGCCAAACUUUAAAACCAGUCUCAGUUCGGAUUGUAGGCUGAAACUCGCCUACAUGAAGCUGGAGUUACUAGUAAUCGCAAAUCAGAAUGUCGCGGUGAAUACGUUCCCGGGUCUU
rnacentral:rRNA from 1 species